rnacentral:lncRNA from 1 species
GAUGUCCCGAUAUAGAUAAUCUUGAAGUAAUUCUUGAUUCUUAGAUCAACUAGAGAACUCUCAGGAAACUUCCUCUCUUCCCACCAAAAAUAAUUAUAUAGUUAUCCUUGGGUGAUCUUGGGUCUUAAUUAGUACACUCACGUUCCCUGUGGAAAAUCGAUACUCUGGAAUACUCCCGGGUGAAGGCUACAUCGGUAUCCGUGCGCUUGUGGAUUUUUCUGUUUGCGUUUAAAAUACCCAACAAGCUUUCUGGCGCCGUUGCCGAGGAACGGUAGCUGUGCUAGUUUCGAACCAAGUCGCCCGUAUAUCCUUUUUCUUUUCUUUUUUUUACCACACUCACCUUAUCAUUUUCACCGUACCACAUGGAUUUCACUCUAAGCAUUAAUGAGCAUGGAAUUUAUUUCAUAGCCACUUCAUUUACUCCAUGCUCAUAUGCAACAUCUUCACAAUCCAUUGGUCUCUCCAACAUCACCACAUUUGAGAUCUCCAACCCCCUCUUCCUUUCUAUUUAUAAAAACUUUAAAAGGGCGGUUGUCGAUGCAUAUGUUUAUAAUAAAUUUUGCAGAUCUCGUUGAGUUGAUCUUGAUAUAGGUCAGCGUUGGAGGGGAAACCACUUCACUGACAUAAACUGAUGGUUUCCCAAGGACAAGCUUAGUGUCCUAAAACAAGCACUGAUCAGAUUGUAACAUGAGCUUUUAAUUAUUUACAACAUUAACUUGUGUAUUGAGCAUAUAAGGAUAAUUGUAAAAAAAUUCCUUCGGGUAUUCUUGUCACUAAUCUUUCCAGGAUUGGAGC